AGUUUGUGUCACGUUUCAAUUAUCUGGGUCAUGUUUGUAUGAUAUGGAAUCAUGGAAAAGUGAAAAUGAUAAAAUGAAUAUUGAAGUAAUAGGUCCCUACAUUCUGAGUUGAACGGUCCAUGGUAAACCGUCUAUGGUCAAAGAGAACACACUACCCAUGGUCACCGGCCAAUGGUCAACGGUCCAUGCUCAAAAGUCCAUACGUGACAAUGAUGGUCCCCGGGGCUGUGGUUUUCUGCAUGAUCACACUGUGGAAUGACUGUGUUAGCCUGGUCCUGAACACUCUCAUGAAGUCAUAUGUGGGUUGUUGACAAUGACCGUACUAUCGCCAGUUCCCGACAACAAGGUUGAGACGUACACACAUGACGCAGGUUGUUGACAAUGAUCGUACUAUCGCCAGUUCCCGACAACAAGGUUGAGACGUCUACACAUGACGCAGGUUGUUGACAAUGACCGUACUAUCGCCAGUUCCCGACAACAAGGUUGAGACGUCCACACAUGACGCAGGUUGUUGACAAUGACCGUACUAUCGCCAGUUCCCGACAACAAGGUUGAGACGUCCACUCAUGACGCCAGCUGACGACCCUCGUCAAGUGAUACAGCGUCUAUAUAGCCAGGGCGUCAAAGUGACUUAACAAAUUGCUUUCAGUAUUACCAAUACCUGCAUUGUAUUCUAUGAAUGCUUAAUUGUAGUUUUCUGAUGACGUGUUGUCCAGUAAUCGUUCAGUUCAUGAUGUUUAUGCCAAUAAAGCGUGUGGCCAGUAA
rnacentral:lncRNA from 1 species